rnacentral:rRNA from 1 species
UACGAAGGGGGCUAGCGUUGCUCGGAAUUACUGGGCGUAAAGGGCGCGUAGGCGGGUCGUUUAGUUAGAGGUGAAAGCCCAGGGCUUAACUCUGGAAUUGCCUUUAAGACUGCAUCGCUAGAAUCGUGGAGAGGUGAGUGGAAUUCCGAGUGUAGAGGUGAAAUUCGUAGAUAUUCGGAAGAACACCAGUGGCGAAGGCGACUCACUGGACACGUAUUGACGCUGAGGUGCGAAAGCGUGGGGAGCAAACAGG